AAGUCGUAACAAGGUUUCCGUAGGUGAACCUGCGGAAGGAUCAUUACAGUGUUUCCUGCCCUCACGGGUAGAAACCCCCACCCUUGUAUAUUAUAUUCUGUUGCUUCGGCAGGCCAGUCUUCGGACUGUGGGCUUCGGUCUACCGUGCCUGUCAAAGGACCUUAAACUCUGUAUUAUAGUGUCGUCUGAGUACUAUAUAAUAGUUAAAACUUUCAACAACGGAUCUCUUGGUUCUG
rnacentral:misc_RNA from 1 species